UACGUAGGCAGCAAGCGUUGUUCGGAAUUACUGGGCGUAAAGCGAGUGUAGGCGGUCUGCCAAGUCUGUUGUGAAAUCUCCUGGCUCAACUGGGAGGGUGCGACGGAAACUGGCAGGCUUGAGUGCGGGAGAGGAGAGUGGAAUUCCUGGUGUAGCGGUGAAAUGCGUAGAUAUCAAGAGGAACACCUGAGGUGAAGACGGGUUGCUGGGCUGACACUGACGCUGAGGCGCGAAAGCUAGGGGAGCAAACGGG
rnacentral:rRNA from 1 species